GACAGAGGCCUCGAGCGUUAGGCGGAAUCACUGGGCUUAAAGCGUGUGUAGGCGGGCCCGUAAGUGUCUUGUGCAAAUCCCACGGGCUCAACCCGUGGAACUGCUGGGCAUACUGCGGGUCUUGGGCCAACUAGGGGCAGCCGGAACAAGCGGUGGAGCGGUGAAAUGCGUAGAUAUCGCUUGGAACGCCGAAGGUGAAAACGGCUGCUGGGGU
rnacentral:rRNA from 1 species